rnacentral:rRNA from 1 species
CAAUCGAACCCGGAGAUAGCUGGUUCUCCCCGAAAUAGCUUUAGGGCUAGCGUCGGAAAGAACUUGUGCGGAGGUAGAGCACUGAAUGUGUGAUGGCCCCAUCCCGGGGUACUGAAUACAAUCAAACUCCGAAUGCCGCAUGAGAUGUCCGGCAGUCAGACCGUGAGUGAUAAGGUCCAUGGUCAAGAGGGAAACAGCCCAGACCGCCAGCUAAGGUCCCGAAAUACAGGCUAAGUGGAAAAGGAUGUGGGGAUGCCCAGACAACUAGGAGGUUGGCUCAGAAGCAGCCAUCCUUCAAAGAGUGCGUAACAGCUCACUAGUCGAGUGACCCUGCGCCGAAAAUGUACCGGGGCUAAGCCUGAUACCGAAGCUGCGGAUUUGAAUAUGAUUCAAGUGGUAGGGGAGCGUUGCAUACAGGUAGAAGCCGUACCGUGAGGAACGGUGGACCGUAUGGAAGUGAGAAUGCCGGUGUGAGUAGCGAGAUGUAGGUGAGAAUCCUACACACCGAAAGCCCAAGGAUUCCAGGGGAAGGUUCGUCCGCCCUGGGUAAGUCGGGACCUAACGCGAGGCCGAGAGGCGUAGUGGAUGGCAAGCAGGCGGAAAUUCCUGCACCCGUACAUGGAGCGAAGGAGUGACGGAGAAGGCUAGUAUGACCCUCUUAACGGAUUGAGGGCGAAGCGGGGUACCUGAUGGUUAGGCAAAUCCGGCCAUCGAAAGGGGAAGACGUGACAGGUAAGCGAACGUUUCGGCAAGUAGCGAAGCAUAUGAGGCCAGCUUCCAAGAAAAGCUUCUAAGCCUAUGCAUGUGCGGCCCGUACCAAAACCGACACAGGUGGGCAGGUAGAGGAUACCAAGGUGAGCGAGAGAACUGUUGCCAAGGAACUCGGCAAAAUGGCUCCGUACGUUCGCAAGAAGGAGCGCUCAUGAAGAGUGAGCCGCAGUGAAGAGGCCCAAGCGACUGUUUAACUAAAACACAGCUCUCUGCGAAGUCGCAAGACGAAGUAUAGGGGGUGACACCUGCCCGGUGCCGGAAGGUUAAGAGGAUCUGUCAAUCGCAAGAUGAAGCAGUGAGUUGAAGCCCCGGUGAACGGCGGCCGUAACUAUAACGGUCCUAAGGUAGCGAAAUUCCUUGUCAGGU